UACGGGGGGGGUAAGCGUUGUUCGGAAUUACUGGGCGUAAAGGGCUCGUAGGCGGCCAACUAAGUCAGACGUGAAAUCCCUCAGCUUAACUGGGGAACUGCGUCUGAUACUGGAUGGCUUGAUUCGGAGAGGGAUGCGGAAUUCCAGGUGUAGCGGUGAAAUGCGUAGAUAUCUGGAGGAAUACCGGUGGCGAAGGCGGCAUCCUGGACCGAGAUUGACACUGAUGAGCGAAAGCUAGGGAGCAACGGG
rnacentral:rRNA from 1 species